rnacentral:rRNA from 1 species
AUGACUAGAGAUAAUAUCAGAAAAAGACAGAUUAUUAAGCCACUUGAUUGUGUCUUCUGCUCUGAGGCUGAAACAUGUACACACCUAUUCUUUGAGUGUGUUGUGGCUAGGCAAAUUUGGUCAUUGAUCACAAGCCAUUUUGGAGUAAACAUAGGGACUAACUUUGAAUCAGUUGCCAAAUUUUGGAUUGCUAAUAAAAAACAUUCAGUUCUCGGCACUGUUAGUGCUGCUAUACUUUGGUGUGUUUGGAAAUAUAGGAACUCCAUUAUUUUCAAUAACACCUUAUGGGUCUCGAUUAAGCAGGUGCUGAGGUUGAUCUUAAGGACUAUCAAGAACUAGACAAUAUUGUCCUCGGGCGAGAAUGCAGAAAGGCUGGAGGCCUUCUCAACACAUCUUAAAAACUUCCUGAGACGACCGCUACUGAUCAGUGGCUGA